UCUCUCUUCACUCACCUGCCAAAUCUCUACCUCCACGAUCCUCCAUCUCCGGACGCCAGCAUGCCACCACCGGCUCCAAGGCCGGUGCCUUACCAUCGUAGCACGAUGCAGCUCACCCACGGUUUUCCCUUUAGGCUGCGGGCUGAGGGUUAAGGGUUCUGGUGGAGGGAGACAGAAUGCGGCCUUGUGGACCAGCGAGGCCAUCUUUGUUUUGAACCACCGGCCGCACGGCACGCCGCCGCACCAUAGUUGUUCUCGUAAGCUUUUAGUCGAGCUCGAGAUCGACUCGGCUCGGGUCUGUGAGUGUGAGAGAGAGAUGGAGGGGCAUGAAGUAAAUGAUGGUUGGCACGGUCUUCUUCCUUUUAUGAAUAAUAAAUACCAAAGAAAUGAUUAUUUCAUAAAAAAAGAAGAGGUUAUUAAUAAAAGAAUUGAAAAUGGAAAUGAA